CAAAUAACAUAACAGAAGAAUGACCAUACCGGGUCAGACAAGUCCAUCUAGCCAGUAUCUGUCUACCGACAAUGGCCAAUGCCAGGUGCCCAGAGGGAGUGAAGCUAA